rnacentral:rRNA from 1 species
GACAGAGGGUGCAAACGUUGUUCGGAAUUACUGGGCGUAAAGCGCGUGUAGGCGGCUAAGUAAGUCGGGCGUGAAAUCCCACGGCUCAACCGUGGAAGUGCACUCGAAACUGUAUAGCUAGAGUCCUGGAGAGGAAGGUGGAAUGCUUGGUGUAGAGGUGAAAUUCGUAGAUAUCAAGCGGAACACCGGUGGCGAAGGCGGCCUUCUGGACAGUGACUGACGCUGAGACGCGAAAGCGUGGGGAGCAAACAGG